UACGGGGGGGGCAAGCGUUGUUCGGAAUUACUGGGCGUAAAGGGCUCGUAGGCGGCCAACUAAGUCAGACGUGAAAUCCCUCGGCUUAACCGGGGAACUGCGUCUGAUACUGGAUGGCUUGAAUCCGGGAGAGGGAUGCGGAAUUCCAGGUGUAGCGGUGAAAUGCGUAGAUAUCUGGAGGAACACCGGUGGCGAAGGCGGCGUUCUGGACUGCUACUGACACUGAGGAACGAAAGCCAGGGGAGCAAACGGG
rnacentral:rRNA from 1 species